UACGGAGGGCGCAAGCGUUAUCCGGAUUCACUGGGUCUAAAGGGUGCGUAGGAGGGCAGGUAAGUCAGUGGUGAAAUCUCCAAGCUUAACUUGGAAACUGCCGUUGAUACUAUCUGUCUUGAAUACCGUGGAGGUGAGCGGAAUAUGUCAUGUAGCGGUGAAAUGCUUAGAUAUGACAUAGAACACCAAUUGCGAAGGCAGCUCACUACACGAAUAUUGACUCUGAGGCACGAAAGCGUGGGGAUCAAACAGG
rnacentral:rRNA from 1 species